UACAGAUGUCCUCCUUCUGCGAGAAGCAUGUGCGAGCUAGCUAGAAUAGCAGAGAUUGCAUUUAACAUAUCUGGGAGAAAUGUUUUAGUGUGCUUGUUGAGUUUUCAGUAUUGUAGUACAUAGAUGAAGCUUGAAAUAUACAUAUUUUAUUAUUUAUUUAUUAGUAUGCAUUUUGGAGUAUGGCGAAGGCCGCUGCAGCUUGGAGAGUGUGGAGGUUAACUUUGUGUUUUAUUUGAUUUUGUAAAGCAUCAAAAGACAAAUUGAAUUAGUAAUUAUGCUCUGACUAACUGUAUGUCUUACUUUCAUCAGUUACGGUGAUGCUCGCAGGUCGGAUGCGGUGUUUGGGAGGUGAUUGCACCACUACACGUGGGCAGAUGGUCGGCUAAGGCCUCCCCUGGACGAAAUGGAUGUUGGUGUUAAUGGAUCCUCGGAGUAGCACCAUUCUAUCGGACCUCAAGAAACGGACAUGUGACUGUAAGUGAUGAGGUGUAUAAACUGUGUGUUUCAAACCAAAGUGUAUAUUUUAUUUGUAAUUGAUGGAAUGAAUAAAAAUGUCCGUUAUCAAUAAAACAUUUUUU